CUUGGCUCUGCCGCUCCCGCUUGCGCUUUUUUAGGGCGGCUUUCGAACACAAUGGUGAUUUGGGGACAUCUGCAUAUCAACAUCAAGUUUGCUGUUGUACAUGUUCAUCUAAAACUCAUGAAAAAGAGAGAAAGGAAAGUAGGGAGAGAGAGAGAAACAUUGAUCAGUUGCCUCUCACAUGACCCCAGGUCCCCACUGGGGACUGGCCUGCAACCCCCACAUGUGCCCUGACUGGGAACCAAACCAGCGACCCUUCCACCCACUGCUUCUCAGUCCACUGAGCCGCACCAGACAGGAGAAAGAGGAAUGGAGAGAGAGAGAGAGAAACAUUGAUGUGAGAGAGAAACAUCGGUUGGUUGCCUCCCAUAUGAGCCCUGAUCAGGAACGAAACCCACAACCUAGGUAUGUGCCCAGAUUGGGAAUUGAACCUGGGACCCUUCGGUUUACAGACAACACUCCAACCAACUGAGCCACAAAC